rnacentral:lncRNA from 1 species
GAGAAUGCAGAAGUCUCAAAUGAGCUUCCCUCCAGCCUCAGGUGUGAAGAAUACCUCGGCCUGGGAGUGCACGGCCAGCACCUCCCAGGGUCAAACGACAAGAGAGCACAGAAACACUGGCAGGGGACAGGUCGGGAAGUGGUAAGACGGUCUCCACUGUGAUCAUCGACUCCCAGAACUCCGACAAUGAGGACGACGAGCAGUUUGUGGUGGAAGCUGCCCCGCAGCUGUCGGAAAUCGCAGAAAUUGAAAUGGUGCCAUCAGGGGACCUGGAGGAUGAGGAGAAGCAUGGUGAGUAUAGACCACAGCACUUGUGCGUGUGUAUACGUCCCUCUGUGAGUACUCUGAGGAUGCUAGUGGCCAUCCUCUGCCUAGCACAAGCUGGGUUCAGGGAGGGACACCGAUGCUGCUGCCAUGUGGGCCUGGAGGACCACAGGACCUGAGAUGAGGAUGGGCUCUAGUCAUAGUGGCGGUGUGUCUUGUCUGCCCAAGACAUUGUGUAUAUACAUGCCUGUGUACACACAUGAACAUGAGACUAGAAUUUGUUGUAAAGCUCAGGCUGCCCGAAACUCUCCAUCUUCCUGCCUCAGCUUCCUACAUACUGAAUUAUUGGUAUACUCCAUGUCCAACUCAGUUCUGGUUUUUAUUCAUGUAACUGUUCCUAUAGCUUUAAGGUUAAAUGUUCAUAGCCAGCUACAUUAAGAGGUGUACGUUU